UGGGGAAUCUUGGACAAUGGGGGCAACCCUGAUCCAGCCAUGCCGCGUGGGUGAAGAAGGCCUUAGGGUUGUAAAGCCCUUUCAGUCGUGACGAUGAUGACGGUAGCGACAGAAGAAGCCCCGGCUAACUCCGUGCCAGCAGCCGCGGUAAUACGGAGGGGGCAAGCGUUGUUCGGAUUUACUGGGCGUAAAGGGCGCGUAGGCGGACGGUCAAGUCAGAGGUGAAAGGCCCGGGCUCAACCUGGGACGUGCCUUUGAAACUGAUUGUCUUGAGUGCGGAAGAGGGUGACGGAAUUCCCAGUGUAGAGGUGAAAUUCGUAGAUAUUGGGAAGAACACCGGUGGCGAAGGCGGUCACCUGGUCCGCAACUGACGCUGAGGGACGAAAGCUAGGGGAGCGAAAGGGAUUAGAUACCCCCGUAGUCC
rnacentral:rRNA from 1 species